rnacentral:rRNA from 1 species
GACAGAGGGUGCAAACGUUGUUCGGAUUUACUGGGCGUAAAGCGCGUGUAGGCGGCUUUGCAAGUCGGAUGUGAAAGCCCACGGCUCAACCGUGGAAGUGCAUCCGAAACUGCAUGGCUCGAGUCUCGGAGAGGAAGGCGGAAUGCUUGGUGUAGAGGUGAAAUUCGUAGAUAUCAAGCAGAACACCUGCGGCGAAGGCGGCCUUCUGGACGAUGACUGACGCUGAGACGCGAAAGCGUGGGGAGCAAACAGG